rnacentral:rRNA from 1 species
GUGCCAGCCGCCGCGGUAAUACCGGCAGCUCAAGUGAUGGCCGAUCUUAUUGGGCCUAAAGCGUCCGUAGCUGGCCUCGCAAGUCCGUCGGGAAAUCCAGUAGCCCAACUACUGGGCGUCCGGCGGAAACUACAAGGCUUGGGACCGGAAGGCUCGAGGGGUACGUCCGGGGUAGGAGUGAAAUCCCGUAAUCCCGAACGGACCACCGAUGGCGAAAGCACCUCGAGAAGACGGACCCGACAGUGAGGGACGAAAGCUGGGAUCUCGAACCGGAUUAGAUACCCGAGUAGUCC